rnacentral:rRNA from 1 species
ACAUGCAAGUCGAGCGGACAGAUGGGAGCUUGCUCCCUGAUGUUAGCGGCGGACGGGUGAGUAACACGUGGGUAACCUGCCUGUAAGACUGGGAUAACUCCGGGAAACCGGGGCUAAUACCGGAUGCUUGUUUGAACCGCACGGUUCAAACAUAAAAGGUGGCUUCGGCUACCACUUACAGAUGGACCCGCGGCGCAUUAG